CUCUCUCUCUCUCUCUCUCUCUCUCUGAAUGUUAGAACAAUCCUAAGGAUUGCUAAAAUAGAAUGAGACUGACUGAGAAUGAAAAUGAAAUUACAUAUAUGACUGAGAAUGAGUGAGAAAUGAUGAAGCAAAGAUGACAUAAAAUGAAUGAGUUGGAGAGAGAGAGCAAGGUAUAACUCCCUAAUCCCUUAUCUCUGACAGAUAAUGGGGAGGGGAAGUGACAGGGAAAGAGGUCUGAGAAAAGAUGAAAGAAAGAAGAGGAAAGGAAAAAAGGGAGGAAGGUACAAGUACCUGAUAGGUGAGCAGCAGCUCACACAGACUGUAUUCUGACUAGCAAUGGAUGAGAAAGACAAGAAAGGGAUAUGAUAUGACUGGCACUGGAUGAGAACAAUAAGGAAGUGAUAUACUAUGACCAGCA